rnacentral:rRNA from 1 species
AGAGUUUGAUCCUGGCUCAGGACGAACGCUGGCGGCGUGCUUAACACAUGCAAGUCGAGCGGAAAGGCCCUUCGGGGUACUCGAGCGGCGAACGGGUGAGUAACACGUGAGCAACCUGCCCCCAUGCUUUGGGAUAACCCUCGGAAACGGGGGCUAAUACCGAAUAUUCACUACUGAUCGCAUGUUUGGUGGUGGAAAGUUUUUCGGCGUGGGAUGGGCUCGCGGCCUAUCAGCUUGUUGGUGGGGUAAUGGCCUACCAAGGCGACGACGGGUAGCCGGCCUGAGAGGGCGACCGGCCACACUGGGACUGAGACACGGCCCAGACUCCUACGGGAGGCAGCAGUGGGGAAUAUUGCACAAUGGGCGGAAGCCUGAUGCAGCGACGCCGCGUGAGGGAUGACGGCCUUCGGGUUGUAAACCUCUUUCAGCAGGGACGAAGCGCAAGUGACGGUACCUGCAGAAGAAGCGCCGGCCAACUACGUGCCAGCAGCCGCGGUAAGACGUAGGGCGCGAGCGUUGUCCGGAAUUAUUGGGCGUAAAGAGCUCGUAGGCGGCUUGUCGCGUCGACUGUGAAAACCCGCGGCUCGACCGCGGGCCUGCAGUCGAUACGGGCAGGCUAGAGUUCGGUAGGGGAGACUGGAAUUCCUGGUGUAGCGGUGAAAUGCGCAGAUAUCAGGAGGAACACCGAUGGCGAAGGCAGGUCUCUGGGCCGAUACUGACGCUGAGGAGCGAAAGCGUGGGGAGCGAACAGGAUUAGAUACCCUAGUAGUCC